rnacentral:tRNA from 1 species
CAUAGCUUAGUGGUUAGGGCGUUCACCUCACAAUCAGAAGGCUGUGAGUUCAAUUCUCACUG